UUGUUUUUCUUUUUUCGUCUAAACACAAUCGUCGUCGGAUAGUUUUCGACUGUUUUUUUUAGAAAGAACCCAUUCAAAGUGCUCGAAGAUGGACGCAAUGCAAAAACAAUCACAGUGCAGUGAAUGGAUGCCUGGAGCAGGUUCGGAAUACCGCGUAGUGUGAGCGCCAGUGUAAUUUAGUGCAAUUUUUCAAUUUUUGUGUAAUGUUAAGUGUAAUUUUUUUUAAAUUAAAUAUUAAAUUUGAAUAAAUCCAUCCUAACUAA